CAGUAGCCACGGUAAUACGAAGGGGGCUAGCGUUGCUCGGAAUUACUGGGCGUAAAGCGUGCGUAGGCGGCUUCUUAAGUCGGAUGUGAAAUCCCUGAGCUUAACUUAGGAAUUGCAUUCGAUACUGGGAAGCUAGAGUAUGGGAGAGGAUGGUAGAAUUCCAGGUGUAGCGGUGAAAUGCGUAGAGAUCUGGAGGAAUACCGAUGGCGAAGGCAGCCAUCUGGCCUAAUACUGACGCUGAGGUACGAAAGCAUGGGGAGCAAACAGGAUUAGAUACCCGAGUAGUCCCUGUCUCUUAUAC
rnacentral:rRNA from 1 species